GUGGCCUAUUGAUUAGAGCGUCCGCUUCAGAUGCGGGAGGUCGUGGGUUCAAUUCCCACGGCCG